rnacentral:rRNA from 1 species
CGACAUGACGCAUGUCGUGUCGGGAAAGAUUCAUCGGUAUGGGAUGGGGUCGCGUCCUAUCAGCUUGAUGGCGGGGUAACGGCCCACCAUGGCUUCGACGGGUAGCCGGCCUGAGAGGGCGACCGGCCACAUUGGGACUGAGAUACGGCCCAGACUCCUACGGGAGGCAGCAGUGGGGAAUAUUGCACAAUGGGCGCAAGCCUGAUGCAGCGACGCCGCGUGCGGGAUGACGGCCUUCGGGUUGUAAACCGCUUUUGACUGGGAGCAAGCCCUUCGGGGUGAGUGUACCUUUCGAAUAAGCACCGGCUAACUACGUGCCAGCAGCCGCGGUAAUACGUAGGGUGCAAGCGUUAUCCGGAAUUAUUGAGCGUAAAGGGCUCGUAGGCGGUUCGUCGCGUCCGGUGUGAAAGUCCAUCGCUUAACGGUGGAUCCGCGCCGGGUACGGGCG